UGACCGCGCACUACACAGAGGACUACCAGGAGCAGCAGCUGCCCGACAACCCCGAGCGACUACAGUAAAUGGUGAUGAUGGUGCAGCUCCUGUGUGGACAUGCUCUGUUACAACAACACAACACCGAGCCAGAAGACGAAGCCGUAACAUAAGCAGCAGUUGCUGUUGAAUGACCGUGCUGACCUCCAAGCUGAGCUAUGGCAAGGCAGUGAACACAUCAGUGGUUUUGGACCAACCAGCUCUCCAACUGCAUCACUGAAUCGGUGGAACUGCACAAACUACAAGUCUGCUGCGC